rnacentral:rRNA from 1 species
UACGGAGAGUGCAAACGUUGUUCGGAUUCACUGGGCGUAAAGGGCACGUAGGCGGCUCGGCAAAUCGGUCGUGGAAUCCCGACGCUUACCGUCGGAACGGCGGCCGAAAAUACCGGGCUCGAGGGCGUGAGGGGUCACUGGAACUCCUGGUGAAGCGGUGAGAUGCGUAGAUAUCAGGAGGAACGCCGGAGGCGAAAGCGAGUGACUGGCGCGUUCCUGACGCUGAGGUGCGAAAGCUAGGGGAGCAAACAGG